rnacentral:tRNA from 1 species
GCCCGGAUGGGGUAGUUUGGAUAUCCUAGGAGCUUGCGGAGCUUUUGACCCGUGUUCGAAUCACGGUCCGGGCG